CCUAGGGGGCGCAGCAGUGGGGAAUAUUGGACAAUGGGCGAAAGCCUGAUCCAGCCAUGCCGCGUGUGUGAAGAAGGCCUUCGGGUUGUAAAGCACUUUCAGUGGGGAAGAAAGCCUUGGGGCUAAUACCCUCGAGGAAGGACAUCACCCACAGAAGAAGCACCGGCUAACUCCGUGCCAGCAGCCGCGGUAAUACGGAGGGUGCGAGCGUUAAUCGGAAUUACUGGGCGUAAAGCGCGCGUAGGCGGUCUGAUAAGCCGGUUGUGAAAGCCCCGGGCUCAACCUGGGAACGGCAUCCGGAACUGUCAGGCUAGAGUGCAGGAGAGGAAGGUAGAAUUCCCGGUGUAGCGGUGAAAUGCGUAGAGAUCGGGAGGAAUACCAGUGGCGAAGGCGGCCUUCUGGACUGACACUGACGCUGAGGUGCGAAAGCGUGGGUAGCAAACAGGAUUAGAUACCCCUGUAGUC
rnacentral:rRNA from 1 species